AACGAACGCUGGCGGCAGGCUUAACACAUGCAAGUCGAACGCUCCGCAAGGGGAGUGGCAGACGGGUGAGUAACGCGUGGGAAUCUACCCAAUACUACGGAAUAGCUCCGGGAAACUGGAAUUAAUACCGUAUGUGCCCUACGGGGGAAAGAUUUAUCGGUAUUGGAUGAGCCCGCGUUGGAUUAGCUAGUUGGUGAGGUAACGGCCCACCAAGGCGACGAUCCAUAGCUGGUCUGAGAGGAUGAUCAGCCACACUGGGACUGAGACACG
rnacentral:rRNA from 1 species